UCUUCAGUGAAAAUUUUGAAUCUGUCGUGUAGUAGUUGUUUGUUUUUCAAUUUCUAAAUAGUUUCUUUUAUGUUCAUGACUUGAUCAGUUCAAGAAAAAUGUAGAAGAAGAUGAUGAUCAAAAUGGAAACAAUUCAAAUUGUGCUUCAAGAGGAAAUUGGUGGCAAGGAUCAUUAUACUAUUGAGGCCUUGCUUUUUUCCCUAUGCAAAGUGGUUCAACCUUUUUUCGAACUCAGCGCAUAGCAGAAGUUUAGUGCAUGCACCGAUUAUCUUUUUAGUCAAGGCCCAUUUCAACACUUAAUUAGUUAACUUUUUUUUGUUUUAUUUUGUUGGUUUGUCUUUAUGGUAAUUGGCAGGACCUUAAGCCAAUUUUGUAAAUGGGUUUGUCCCACUAAUUUUAACACUUUAUUAGUAGACACCUUGUUGUAAUUAA